rnacentral:rRNA from 1 species
UACGGAGGGUGCAAGCGUUAAUCGGAAUUACUGGGCGUAAAGCGCACGCAGGUGGCUGAGUCAGUCGAUUGUGAAAGCCCUGGGCUUAACCUGGGAAUUGCAGUCGAUACUACUCAGCUAGAGUAUGGGAGAGGGCAGUGGAAUUCCCGGUGUAGCGGUGAAAUGCGUAGAUAUCGGGAGGAACAUCAGUGGCGAAGGCGGCUGCCUGGCCCAAUACUGACGCUCAGGUGAGACAGCGUGGGGAGCAAACAGG